rnacentral:rRNA from 1 species
GACGAACGCUGGCGGCGUGCCUAAUACAUGCAAGUUGAGCGAUGAAGAUUGGUGCUUGCCCCAAUUUGAAGAGCAGCGAACGGGUGAGUAACGCGUGGGGAAUCUGCCUUUGAGCGGGGGACAACAUUUGGAAACGAAUGCUAAUACCGCAUAACAACUUUAAACAUAAGUUUUAAGUUUGAAAGAUGCAAUUGCAUCACUCAAAGAUGAUCCCGCGUUGUAUUAGCUAGUUGGUGAGGUAAAGGCUCACCAAGGCGAUGAUACAUAGCCGACCUGAGAGGGUGAUCGGCCACAUUGGGACUGAGACACGGCCCAAACGCCUACGGGAGGCAGCAGUAGGGAAUCUUCGGCAAUGGACGAAAGUCUGACCGAGCAACGCCGCGGGAGUGAAGAAGGGUUUCGGAUCGUAAAACUCUGUUGGUAGAGAAGAACGUUGGUGAGAGUGGAAAGCUCAUCAAGUGGCGGUAACUACCCAGAAAGGGACGGCUAACUACGUG